UCGGAUAUGGUGUAACGGCUAACAUUGCCGCCUCUCAUGUUUACAUCUGUGAUCGCGGCAGCUCGGGGUUCGAUUCCCCGUAUCCGAA